UUUUUUUUUUUUUUUAUGAUAGUCACAGAGAGAGAGAGAGAGAGAGAGGCAGAGACAUAGGCAGAGGGAGAAGCAGGCUCCAUGUACCGGGAGCCCGACGUGGGACUCGAUCCGGGGUCUCCAGGAUCGCGCCCUGGGCCAAAGGCAGGCGCUAAACCGCUGCGCCACCCAGGGAUCCCAAUUUUAGUUCUUAUACUGAUACUUUGAAGCUAUUUCUGGCUACUCUGUUCUUCAUUUAGUUGAAAGAUCACAUAAUUUUGAUAACUAUGUAGGUUUGUAUAUGCUCAUCUUUAUUCAAUCUUUCUAACAAUAAGAAAGGUAUAUUUCAACAUUUAUUUAAAUUUUCCAUUUUUUUACUCAUUUAGGGUCUCAAUUUUCUUUUGUGUCACAAAAUUAAUGCAAAGGCAUUUAAUGUUUCUAAUAACUGUUGUGAAUGCUAUCUCAUUUCUUGGAGUUAUGCAUUGUGUUUUCCCUAUUAUUAGUGUAUAGGGAAGCAUUUAAUUUAUUUUUGUGGAUUUACUUCACUCCACAACUUUGAUGAACUCAUUUAUUACCUCUGGUAAUUUUUUGGUUGACUUCUUUGGAUUUUCUGAGUAUAUAUAUUCAUGUCAUAAAAAAUGAUUUUUAGUGUCUUCCUUUCCUAAAUAUACCUUCAAUUCCCCUUCAUCCUCCACCCCCCAACCUCAGAUAACCAUAGUCACUAUUCCAUUAAAAGAGAGUGGCAUUCUGGAAUACAAAAAGAACUAGCUUUUGUAGAGUUCUCUUUUUUCCUGCAUUUGAUUUUAGGCUAAUUCCAGUCAUAGUUCUCCAUUAACUAUAUUUUUGUUGCUAUUUUUUUAAAUGUCCCUUUUCAUUUUAGAGAUGAAAACAUUUAAUUUUAUUAAUCAAGAAAAUGUUGAAUGCUAUCCAUAUUUCUUGGCAUCUAUUGAAACAAUAAUUUAAAAAUAUUUUCCAAUUAACACAUUAUUCUAGCCUGUAUUGAUGCAAUAAAUAAGUCAUAGUUGAUACAUUAAAAAAUUAUGUUCUGGUGUUCCAUUUCUUAAAAUACUAAGAUUUUAUUCAGGCUGUACACACAAACGGACACGCACACACACAGGGGAACACACGGGCACACGUAUACUUUCAAUAAUGCAAUACAUAUGAAUGUCUUACAAAUGUAUAUACAAAUGCACCGCGUUUUUUCAAAGUGAGAUCAGCCUAGUAUUCCUGUAUUUGAUAUUUUCCUUUUGAAUUUUUGGAAUGAAACCAUAUUCACCUUAUACCAUGACCUAGGUAGCACACCUUUUUCUUUUCUUUUUUAAAGAUUUCAUUUAUUUAUUUGAGACAGAGAGAGAAAGAGAGAGAGCACAAGCAGAGGGAGAGGGAGAAGCAGGCUCUCCGCUGAGCCAGGGAGUCAGAUUGGGUCUCCAUCCCAUCAUGACCUGAGCAGAAGGCCGAUAUUAAACUUCUGAGCCAACCAGGCACCCCAGCACACUUUUUUCUAUGUAUAAAUGCCAUUCAAGAGAAAAGAAUAUGUACUCCAAAAAGGAUUGAAUGAAUUUCUACUGAAUCCAUCAGUUCCAGGUGACUUCAGAAAUUUAUUUUUCUAUUGUUGGAGUAUAUGCCUUCUCUUUUUCUUGUGGUACUGAUUUUUAUUGUGUUUGAAUUACAAUUCAUUGUAUUUUUUUAAUAAAAUAAUUUUUAUUGGUGUUCAAUUUACCAACAUACAGAAUAACACCCAGUGCUCAUCCCGUCAAGUGUCCCCCUAAGUGCCUGUCACCCACUCACCCCCACCUCCCGCCCUCCUCCCCUUCCACCACCCCUAGUUCGUUUCCCAGAGUUAGGAGUCUUUAUGUUCUGUCGAUAGUGCCAAAUUUAUUUGAAAAUACUCCGUAGAAUUUAAUUUUUCUUUUCAUGCUAAUUAAAAAGUGUAUUUUAAUCUACUUUUGUUGAGCACUUAGUGUCCACUUAAGCACUGAUGUGGACACUAAUAAGCAUUAAGCAGUAAAAAUGCUACAUGAAAAGUCUUUAUCCUUAUUUACAGAGCUUGUAGUCUAAUCCAUGAGAGAGACCUAAAAGUCUUAAGCAGAUAAAUAUUGUCAUAACUGCUAUGAAGAAAAUAAAACAGAUGUAAUAAAAAGUGCUUGGUCAUGGGAGUCGGGUGGUCUAGUUUAGAUUGGGGAGUCCUUAGCUAAGGCCUCUCUGGGGAGGCUGCUUUUAAGGUGAGACCUGCAGAAGAGAAGAGCCCCUGGGCUAAGGGGUUGAGGGAGGAGCAUUCUCAGAAGGCCAGGGGCAGGGAGUGGAGUAAGAGCCAGGACCCUGAGUUGAGAUAGAGCAUGGUAUACCUGUGUUUGCAUUUUUGCUGGUAUAAUAUUUUAUUUUUCAGUUGUUGUAUUUUUCCCUUGUGUACAGUCAGCAGCUUAAUUUAUUAACUCCGAUACAUUUUUCUUUCUCAAGAUUGUCUUAUCUUCGUCUUCUCACUGUCCUUUUGCUAUUUUCUUCCCUUUGAGGAGGGAGCAUAUAAUGCUUAUCUUUCUAUUCUUAAGCAGUUGGAUUGUUGUUUCUUCAGUGAGCAAGAGCAAUCAUGUAACUCAGUGGUUCGCUUCAUUUGUCUCUCUUGCUAGGAAACCCUGGACUAAAUUUGUGACCAUCACUUAGUGAAUGCGAAAGGACCUAAUGACGUGUGUUUUUUAAUUAACCUCACCUCAAGUUUAAUCUGAAUUUCACUACCCAUGUGUUUUCCUUGCAUUGAUUUCUUCACUGUCUUUGGAGAGUUUUAAUCAUCACAAUUUAUUAUAUUGUGAUUUUAAAUGAUUACACUUGUUUUAUAAAUGAUUACAAUAUUUAAUUAUUAUCUUUUGCACUAGCUAAAUUUGUAGCUGCAGCUCCUACUCUUGAAAA
rnacentral:lncRNA from 1 species